GUGACUAGUACAUGCAGUCGUACGAGAGCAGACCAGGUGCUUGCACUGGUCAAUCUAGUGGCGAACGGGUGAGUAACACGUGGGUAACCUGCCCAUCAGAGGGGGAUAACAUUCGGAAACGGAUGCUAAAACCGCAUAGGUCUUCGAACCGCAUGGUUUGAAGAGGAAAAGAGGCGCAAGCUUCUGCUGAUGGAUGGACCCGCGGUGCAUUAGCUAGUUGGUGAGGUAACGGCUCACCAAGGCCGUGAUGCAUAGCCGACCUGAGAGGGUGAUCGGCCACAUUGGGACUGAGACACGACCCAAAUUUAUACGGGAGGCAGCAGUAGGGAAUCUUCCGCAAUGGACGCAAGUCUGACGGAGCAACGCCGCGUGAGUGAAGAAGGUUUUCGGAUCGUAAAACUCUGUUGUUAGAGAAGAACAAGUGCUAGAGUAACUGUUAGCGCCUUGACGGUAUCUAACCAGAAAGCCACGGCUAACUACGUGCCAGCAGCCGCGGUAAUACGUAGGUGGCAAGCGUUGUCCGGAUUUAUUGGGCGUAAAGCGAGCGCAGGCGGUUCCUUAAGUCUGAUGUGAAAGCCCCCGGCUCAACCGGGGAGGGUCAUUGGAAACUGGGGAACUUGAGUGCAGAAGAGGAGAGUGGAAUUCCAUGUGUAGCGGUGAAAUGCGUAGAUAUAUGGAGGAACACCAGUGGCGAAGGCGACUCUCUGGUCUGUAACUGACGCUGAGGCUCGAAAGCGUGGGUAGCAAACAGGAUUAGAUACCCUGGUAGUCCACGCCGUAAACGAUGAGUGCUAAGUGUUGGAGGGUUUCCGCCCUUCAGUGCUGCAGUUAACGCAUUAAGCACUCCGCCUGGGGAGUACGACCGCAAGGUUGAAACUCAAAGGAAUUGACGGGGGACCCGCACAAGCGGUGGAACAUGUGGUUUAAUUCGAAGCAACGCGAAGAACCUUACCAAGUCGUGGCAACCUUUUGACCACCCCUAUAGAUAAGAGCUUUUCCCUUCCGGGGAAAAAAUCAAAAGGUGGGUGCAAGGGUUGUCCUUCCAGCACCAGGCCAUGUUGAAGAAGUGGCGUAAAUUCCCUCACA
rnacentral:rRNA from 1 species